rnacentral:tRNA from 1 species
GAGAGUAUAGCUCAGUGGUAGAGCACAUGCUUAGCAUGCAUGAGGUCCUCGGUUCAAUCCCUAGUACCUCCA